GCCUAGCCGUAAACAAUUAACUUACACUAAUAAACGCCAGGGAACUACGAGCCAUGCUUAAAACCCAAAGGACUUGACGGUGUCCCAUUCCCCCUAGAGGAGCCUGUUCUAUAAUCGAUGACCCCCGCUAUACCUAACCAUCCCUUGCUUUAUCAGCCUGUAUACCUCCGUCAUAAGCUUACCAUGUGAACGUUAAUAGUAAGCCCAAUGGUUAACCCAAACCGACAUGUCAGGUCAAGGUGCAGCUCACGGAAUGGAAAGUAAUGGGCUACAAUUUCUAACAUAGAACAAACGGAAGGUCAUGUGAAACCAUGGCCAUGAAGGCGGAUUUAGUAGUAAAAAGAAAAUAGAGUGUUCUUUUUAACGCGGUUCUGGGACGCGUACACACCGCCCGUCACCCUCUUCAAUAGCUUUUAAUCGAGAUUUAUAACCCCAUAUUUGCAUUUUAGAAGAGGCAAGUCGUAACAUGGUAAGUGUACUGGAAAGUGCACUUGGUAACAACAAAAUAUAGCUUAA
rnacentral:rRNA from 1 species